UUGUGUGUGAGGAGUAAGAACGAAAGGUAAAGCUCUUGGGGUCGAAACACGGCCAGACUCCCAAGAGCUUUUCUCU
rnacentral:sRNA from 1 species